UCUCCUGACUGGAGAGAGUCUUCCAGGGGCUUAGCUGGAGACUGAGGCUUGCAUCAUGGGCUUGGAGCUCAGCUUCAACUUGGACUCUGACUCCUAGACUGCUUCAUGGGGUACUGCGCCAGGCAUUGGAGAUUCAAGAAAGGUCCCAUUCUAAUGAGGAAGACAUAAGCAACUGGGUACAAACAAGCCACAGUCGGGAUCAAUGGGAAACAGGGUUGGGAAAGCCUUUCUGGAGAAAGACAAAAUGAACCUCCCCAGGAGGUCCCAAGAAGAAGAAAGUACACAGGGCUUUUCCUGAUACUCCUGCUUCUUAGAUUCUAUCACAGAUUCACACGGAGAAGAACCAUUAGGGGAAACAAGUCUUCCAAAGUGGAGAACUCAGGUGGCAUAGCUAAUGAAAAAGAAACUGCUUACAAAAGAAUAGGACAGGCUCUAAAUAGAUCUCAUUCCUUACCCUGGGGUUCAGAUUCCAUGAAAUAUCAUGGAGGAUGCCUUCUUGCCUCCCUACUUCCUCCUUGAUUAUUUUAUAAUAAAUACAACCCAGAAGUACCCAGGAGGAGCCAGAUUCUAUUCCUGAGCCACUUUGGCUUACUCUGUACCAAGACAACACAAAUAGAGAACAUAUGGAUGAAGUCUCAGCCCAUCCAUGAGGCUUCUCUAAUUCUACUCCAUCAAGACCUUCCCCUAACCUAGUCCCAAAGUUGCCCUGUAUUUACUUAGUGGAUAUAUAAAGAAGCAAUGGGAUACAGUAAAUAGAGAUGGCCUCAAAGCCAGGAAGACCUGAGUUCAAGUGAUCUUUGACAGGUACUGACUAGAUGAUCCUGGCCACAAUCACUGAAGCUCUGCAUUGCCCAGGCAACUCUCUAAACCCAAAAGUUACAAAGCAAAUGCCCAACUACAUUGGGAAAAUUUUCUCACAGGGUGUUCCUUAUGCCAAUGAAGUCACGAGCCAGGCAUAUAAGUAUGCAUGUACAUGUACACAUAUACAUAUAUACACAUUUAUAUUUAUUACAUUUUUCUGUGUCAUUAUUUCUCCAAAUGAAAUAUAAGCUCCCUGAGCACAGGUUGAGAUGCUUUCAUUUUUAUGUCUGCAUCCCCAAGGCCUAGUCCAUAGGCCUACUGGGCACUUAACAUGUCUUGAUCAAAAAUAAGCACUUGACUUAGCCACCCAAUGGAAAUAAUCCUACCCAUCUUCCCUGAAGCCUUCCAUUCAAUACUUAUAUGUAACUGGCAAUAAAUGUCUGGAGGCACAAAAUAAAAUCCCAUCAUACCCCAUCUGUCAGUUCCACAUCCAGAUCAAUGGCUGACAGCAGAGGGGGAAAAAGCAGUUUUAAUUCCCUCUUCUUUAAAAAGAAAAUAAGACUCAGAAUUUUAACUGUCAGUCCUGAAGAUUACAAAUUAUUCAUUUCAUUAGGUCACACAUCAGACAGUAAAUCGAAUCAUAUUUACACAAACAAUUGUUAUUAUAAACCCAAGAAAUCUCAAAAUUAUGUAUUCAAAAUAAGUAGAACUCUGCCAAUUUUUUGAAAGAGCCAACAAUUGUGGUUGUUGCUUUUACCAAAACUGCUCAUGUGGAUACCAAUGAAGGUGAAGUGAAGGUCACAGUUAAUCAAUAAAGGGAACACAGAUGAUAGGACUAACUUUGGAAGGUGGAAAGAUAUUAAGCCUGAACUUGGAGUCUGGACACCUUCCAUUUCUAGUCCUGCCUGCCAUGUGACCACAGGCAAUCCAUUUCACUACGGUCCAACCUCCUCCCCCCACAAUAUGCUCCUUUCCAGCUUCUGUUUCAUCUAUAAAAUAGGGAUAAUCAUUCCUGCAUUACCUAACCUCCUGGGGUUGUUGUGAGCCAAAGGCUUUGUAAACAGUCAUGGGCUAUAAAUGGGAGAUAUCAUCAUCAUCAUCAUCAUCAUGACUUGAGGAGGAUAAAACUUCUAUAGUUCAGUAGGGAACAUGUUAGAUUUGAAACAAUUACCCAGGAUCUGAAACCUCAUUCUGAUAUUCCCUGUGUGAUCUUUGGCAAAUCACUUCACUUCUCUCUGGGCUUCAAUUUCUUCAUCUGAAAUUUGAGGGGAAAGGAGACUAGACAGCCUCUCAAUCCCUUAUUGGCCAAAAACCUGCAGGAAAUUGUUCAAGCCCAAUAUUUGAAUGUUACAGGUUUAAGUUUCGUAUUCCGAGUCAGUCCUUUAUUGACUGGCUAAAAAAUACAACUGCAGUGAAGUUAAACCAUAAACCUCUUAAGAACAAGACGUUAGAGAUUUCUUCCUUUUUUUACACAUGUCAGUAUUUACCCAGAGCUCCAACUCUCCAGCCAGGCUCUGUCUGGAAGUAAAGGACUAGAGGGGGAAAAAAAUUUUUUUAAACAGAAAAGUUUGAUAAGAGUGGCAAAUUUGGAGUUCUGUUUUGGACAUAUAAAGUUUGAGGGGUUUUGUGGGACAUACAAUUUGAAAUGUUCAAUAGGUAACUGGUGAUGCAGACUAGGAGUUGAAAGAGAACGGGGCUGACAGUCAAGAAUCACCUACACAGGGAUGUUCAGUAAACCCAAAGGGACUAAUGAGGUCACUCAGCGAAAUAAUGUACAGAGAGAAGAGAGUCCAGGGCAGAACCUUGAGCUAUACCCACAACUAGGACAAUUAAUUGGGAAAAAUAACAUUUCAUUAGUCAAGCUCUAAAUAUUACUAAAGUGGCAUCGCACAAAUGUAUUUUCCAGUUACAAUAAAGACGAAUGGAGUUAAAAGUAAUAAUUCCUUUUUUCCUUUUACUUAAAACUCAUCAAAGCUAAUAACUUGUCAAUGAGGGUAGGACUAGCCAUUUAACAAAAAAUAAAAAUGAAAUUAGUGGUAUCUGUCAAUGAGCAAAAUGAAAUUCUUUAAUUCUUUAACUAGAAGUAUAAGUAUGUAUAAGGUACCUAUAAAGAAAAAAAUUUCUACUAACUCUAAAGCUUCAUUUGCAUCAUUCUCCAGAAGAUUUUAAAGGAGUAAAAAAACCAUUGUUACCAAAACAAAAUACAAAGUUCACUGAAACUAAUUCCCCCCAAAAUUACUUCCUAUUUACCAAGAAGUGCCAAGGGAAGAAGUAUCUGGGAAGUAACCAUCUUGUUUUAGAGAGAACAAAUUAUCUCAAUAAAGAUUCUGAUUCUUGAACAUCAUAAAUCUCACUGGGCUGGUGUUCUCCAAGCCCCUGCCCAAGAACAACCUAGAUGGAGUUCUAGCUUAAGAAUCCAGGAGUGCCUUUUCAGCUGUCAGAGGGGAUCAUGUAAGAUUUAUACCCACCCCUUAUUCCACUUCUUUCCCAAUAUUCAAAGUCUAGAAAAUGAAGGUUUAAAAACCCGAUCCCAGAUAUGAACCCAAUUUCAUUCUUCUUAAAAGUACUAGAAGAGCUGGGAAAAGGCACUGUAGGGGAUUUUUUUUUUAAUGACAAAAAAUUCUUGGCCAGAAAAAAAAUUUCUUAACUUGAAAAUUACUUUUCUCCUUAGUAUUUGAAUCAUGUUUCAUAGUUAUUUUGCUUUCUAAUAUACAAUAACUUUCAGCAAUUUUGGAAAUAGGAUUUUCCAUCAUAAUUUCUGGCCUCUUUCAGCAUUUGGUGUUCACUGAAGGCUUCUUUCUAGCUGUUUCUUCUAUUCUCUUCCCUGGGAGACUACAAACUGGCAAAAUUCUAUUGCCCAACAGUUUCAUCUCAUAGUCUGCUCUCCUAGAAGGACCUAAGACUUGAAGAGGAUUUUCCUGUGACCAACAGAGGAAGGAGGUUUUCUGGACCUGGCGGCGGGCAGCAUCUAUUAGAAGAUCUCUGGACCUACUUGGACAGCUAUCAACUUUAAGAUCCUGGCCCUAUCUGAAUUGGACUCCUGAUGUGAGACUUGGAUAUUAGGAAAUUAAUGUUUAGCUUAGUAAUAUAGUUUUAGAUAUUAGCUUUUAAAUUAAGUAGAAGUUUAUUCCUAAACCCUUAUUCCUUCCUACCCUUCCAACCAAUAAAUUUGAAUUUAUUUAAA